rnacentral:rRNA from 1 species
AACGAACGCUGGCGGCGUGCCUAACACAUGCAAGUCGUGCGAGAAAGUUCCUUCGGGAGCGAGUAAAGCGGCGCACGGGUGAGUAACACGUAGGUAACCUGCCCCCCAGUCUGGAACAACUAGAGGAAACUCUAGCUAAUGCCGGAUGAGACCACGAUCCCUUCGGGGGUUGCGGCCAAAGAUGGCCUCUACUUGUAAGCUAUCGCUGAGGGAUGGGCCUGCGGGCCAUUAGCUUGUUGGUGAGGUAACGGCUCACCAAGGCUGUGAUGGCUAGCUGGUCUGAGAGGAUGACCAGCCACACUGGGACUGAGACACGGCCCAGACUCCUACGGGAGGCAGCAGUGGGGAAUAUUGCGCAAUGGGCGAAAGCCUGACGCAGCGACGCCG